rnacentral:lncRNA from 1 species
UCUGCCUGCAUAAUACCAAAGGGAAAUGCUAUAUUAUAAUCAUUCUUUUGAGUGAACAAGAUACUAAUUGCCAUUCUUUUGGCAAACAAGAUAGUAAUGUAUUCAAGUUGUAUAUAGCCAUGUCUUUCAAACUGUGAUAUCUCCACAUAUGUAACUUUAAAUUAGCUGUGCCCGAAUAAAAUAAUGUUUUACUAUAUGAAAUCUUAGUACAGGCUUAAAGUUGGCAUGGGGUAAUUUAAAAAGAUCAAAUAGUAUACAAAUCUGAGUAAUAUUUUUGAUAACUGUUGUUAGAUAAAACCAAAACAGAAGGUAAUAUUAGCCAAAAAAGUCAGAAUCUCUUUCAUUUGCCCUUCAAGUGCAUUUAGAAUUUUUAAGUGACUUAAAAACAACAAAACUGUUAGUUUUGAAUCUUCAAGAAAUAUUUUU